UGGGGAAUAUUGCACAAUGGGCGCAAGCCUGAUGCAGCCAUGCCGCGUGUAUGAAGAAGGCCUUCGGGUUGUAAAGUACUUUCAGCGGGGAGGAAGGGAGUAAAGUUAAUACCUUUGCUCAUUGACGUUACCCGCAGAAGAAGCACCGGCUAACUCCGUGCCAGCAGCCGCGGUAAUACGGAGGGUGCAAGCGUUAAUCGGAAUUACUGGGCGUAAAGCGCACGCAGGCGGUUUGUUAAGUCAGAUGUGAAAUCCUCGGGCUCAACCUAGGAACUGCAUCUGAUACUGGCAAGCUUGAGUCUCGUAGAGGGGGGUAGAAUUCCAGGUGUAGCGGUGAAAUGCGUAGAGAUCUGGGGGAAUACCGGUGGCGAAGGCGGCCCCCUGGACGAAGACUGACGCUCAGGUGCGAAAGCGUGGGGAGCAAACAGG
rnacentral:rRNA from 1 species